rnacentral:rRNA from 1 species
GCCCAACCGUAAACUUUAAAUUACACCUAUAUCGCCCGGGAACUACGAGCAAAGCUUAAAACCCAAAGGACUUGACGGUACCCCACAUCCACCUAGAGGAGCCUGUCCUAUAAUCGAUAACCCCCGUUAAACCUCACCAUUUUUAGCUUAUCAGCCUGUAUACCUCCGUCGUCAGCUUACCACGUGAGCGACUUCCAGUGAGCUUAAUGCCCAUACGCCAACACGUCAGGUCAAGGUGCAGCAGAUAAAAUGGGAAGAGAUGGGCUACACUCUCUAUUCUAGAAAAUACGGAAGACUAUUUAUGAAACCUAGUCAGAAGGCGGAUUUAGUAGUAAAAAGAGAUAAGAGCACUCUUUUUAACAUGGCACUGGGGUGUGUACACACCGCCCGUCACCCUCUUCAAAGCUAACAUGAAGUUCCUAACACACUUAAGCAUUACAGAAGAGGCAAGUCGUAACAUGGUAAGUAUACCGGAAGGUGUGCUUGGAAA